rnacentral:rRNA from 2 species
UGCGGAGGAUCAUUACACUCAGUAGUUUACUACUGUUAAGGGGGCUGUUAGUCUGUAUAGCUUAAUCGCUGAUGAGCAGCAGGCCUUCUUUUUACACCCUUGUCUUUUGCGUACCCAUGUUUCCUCGGCAGGCUUGCCUGCCGAUUGGACAACCUAUAACCUUUUUAAUUUUUAUUCAGCGUCUGAAAAACUUAAUAAUUACAACUUUCAACAACGGAUCUCUUGGUUCUGGCAUCGAUGAAGAACGCAGCGAAAUGCGAUAAGUAGUGUGAAUUGCAGAAUUCAGUGAAUCAUCGAAUCUUUGAACGCACAUUGCGCCCUAUAGUAUUCUGUAGGGCAUGCAUGUUCGAGCGUCAUUUGUACCUUCAAGCUUUGCUUGGUGUUGGGUGUUUGUCCUCUCCCUGGUGUUUGGACUCGCCUUAAAACAAUUGGCAGCCAGUGUUUUGGUAUUGAAGCGCAGCACAAUUUGCGAUUCUGGCCUUAAAAUACUAGCGUCCAUAAGUACUUUCUCACUUUUGACCUCGGAUCAUGUAGGGAUACCCGCUGAACUUAAGCAUAUCAAUAAGCGGAGGAAAA